UGAUGAACGCUAGCGACAGGCUUAACACAUGCAAGUCGAGGGGCAGCAUGGUCUUAGCUUGCUAAGGCCGAUGGCGACCGGCGCACGGGUGAGUAACACGUAUCCAACCUGCCGUCUACUCUUGGACAGCCUUCUGAAAGGAAGAUUAAUACAAGAUGGCAUCAUGAGUCCGCAUGUUCACAUGAUUAAAGGUAUUCCGGUAGACGAUGGGGAUGCGUUCCAUUAGAUAGUAGGCGGGGUAACGGCCCACCUAGUCUUCGAUGGAUAGGGGUUCUGAGAGGAAGGUCCCCCACAUUGGAACUGAGACACGGUCCAAACUCCUACGGGAGGCAGCAGUGAGGAAUAUUGGUCAAUGGGCGCAGGCCUGAACCAGCCAAGUAGCGUGAAGGAUGACUGCCCUAUGGGUUGUAAACUUCUUUUAUAAAGGAAUAAAGUCGGGUAUGGAUACCCGUUUGCAUGUACUUUAUGAAUAAGGAUCGGCUAACUCCGUGCCAGCAGCCGCGGUAAUACGGAGGAUCCGAGCGUUAUCCGGAUUUAUUGGGUUUAAAGGGAGCGUAGAUGGAUGUUUAAGUCAGUUGUGAAAGUUUGCAGCUCAACCGUAAAAUUGCAGUUGAUACUGGAUAUCUUGAGUGCAGUUGAGGCAGGCGGAAUUCGUGGUGUAGCGGUGAAAUGCUUAGAUAUCACGAAGAACUCCGAUUGCGAAGGCAGCCUGCUAAGCUGCAACUGACAUUGAGGCUCGAAAGUGUGGGUAUCAAACAGGAUUAGAUACCCUGGUAGUCCACACGGUAAACGAUGAAUACUCGCUGUUUGCGAUAUACAGCAAGCGGCCAAGCGAAAGCGUUAAGUAUUCCACCUGGGGAGUACGCCGGCAACGGUGAAACUCAAAGGAAUCGACGGGGGCCCGCACAAGCGGAGGAACAUGUGGUUUAAUUCGAUGAUACGCGAGGAACCUUACCCGGGCUUAAAUUGCAGAUGAAUUACGGUGAAAGCCGUAAGCCGCAAGGCAUCUGUGAAGGUGCUGCAUGGUUGUCGUCAGCUCGUGCCGUGAGGUGUCGGCUUAAGUGCCAUAACGAGCGCAACCCUUGUUGUCAGUUACUAACAGGUUCCGCUGAGGACUCUGACAAGACUGCCAUCGCAAGAUGUGAGGAAGGUGGGGAUGACGUCAAAUCAGCACGGCCCUUACGUCCGGGGCUACACACGUGUUACAAUGGGGGGUACAGAGGGCCGCUACCACGCGAGUGGAUGCCAAUCCCCAAAACCUCUCUCAGUUCGGACUGGAGUCUGCAACCCGACUCCACGAAGCUGGAUUCGCUAGUAAUCGCGCAUCAGCCACGGCGCGGUGAAUACGUUCCCGGGCCUUGUACACACCGCCCGUCAAUCCAUGGGAGCCGGGGGUACCUGAAGUGCGUAACCGCGAGGAGCGCCCUAGGGUAAAAC
rnacentral:rRNA from 1 species